rnacentral:rRNA from 1 species
AAUCUCAGUUCAGACUGCAGGCUGCAACUCGCCUGCACGAAGUCGGAAUUGCUAGUAAUCGUAGGUCAGCAUACUACGGUGAAUACGUUCCCGGGCCUUGUACACACCGCCCGUCAAACCAUGAGAGUUGGCAACACCCGAAGUCGGUAGCCUGACCGCAAGGGGGGCGCGGCCGAAGGUGGGUUCGAUAAUUGGGGUGAAGUCGUAACAAGGUAGC